AGAGCGAGCGCUGGCGGCAGGCCUAACACAUGCAAGUCGAGCGCCCCGCAAGGGGAGCGGCAGACGGGAGAGUAACACGUGGGAACGUACCCUUCAGUUCGGAACAACCCAGGGAAACUUGGGCUAAUACCGAAUACGUCCGUAAGGAGAAAGAUUUAUCGCUGAAGGAUCGGCCCGCGUCUGAUUAGCUUGUUGGUGAGGUAACGGCUUACCAAGGCUACGAUCAGUAGCUGGUCUGAGAGGAUGAUCAGCCUCACUGGGACUGAGACACGGCCCAGACUCCUACGGGAGGCAGCAGUGGGGAAUAUUGGACAAUGGGCGCAAGCCUGAUCCAGCCAUGCCGCGUGGAUGAUGAAGGCCUUAGGGUUGUAAAGUCCUUUCGACGGGGAAGAUAAUGACGGUACCCGUAGAAGAAGCCCCGGCUAACUUCGCGCCAGCAGCCGC
rnacentral:rRNA from 1 species